rnacentral:lncRNA from 1 species
AGAAAACUACCAAAAAGGAGGGAUUUUAUGGAAAAUAUGGAGACUUCUAAGGGCUUCAAUGCUUGGGUCCUUGAAUUGGUGGGGACCACAAGCUAGUGGAAGGCAUCUAGUCAUUUGGACUCUAAAAAGAAAGCUACGGAAGGAGACUUGGGGCAAGAAGUACUUUGAAGGCUUUGUCCACAUGUGUGGGGACCACGUAGAGAGCCUUUAGUUAUCUUUCUUUUGUGGCUUAAAUAGGGAUAACGUAGAGUAGCAGAGGGAUAUCUCUAGUUUUAGUCUUUUAGUUUAGUUUUAGUUUUCCCUUCUUCUGACUGGCCUCUGACACACGCCAGGUGUUCGACAAAAUUCCCCAACGGGAAAAACACAUUGUAUUCCUUGUUUCUUAAUAGAAAACGCUAUGCUUUUGCAAUCC